rnacentral:rRNA from 1 species
GAUGAACGCUGGCGGCGUGCCUAAUACAUGCAAGUCGAACGCUGGAAAUCUAGCUUGCUAGCUUGAAGGAGUGGCGAACGGGUGAGUAAUACAUAAGCAACCUACCCACGAAGACUGGGAUAAUCUCUGGAAACGGGGACUAAUACCGGAUAGGUAAUCGCAAGGCAUCUUCUGAUUAUUAAAGGUUAAAAACACUGGUGGAUGGGCUUAUGGUGCAUUAGUUAGUUGGUGAGGUAACGGCCCACCAAGACGACGAUGCGUAGCCGGCCUGGGGGGGUGAACGGCCACAUUGGGACUGAGACACGGCCCAGACUCCUACGGGAGGCAGCAGUAGGGAAUUUUCGGCAAUGGGGGAAACCCUGACCGAGCAACGCCGCGUGAGUGAUGACGGCCUUCGGGUUGUAAAGCUCUGUUGUAAGGGAAGAACGGUAGAUAGAGAAUAUCUAAAUGACGGUACCUUACCAGAAAGCCACGGCUAACUACGUG